UUUGCAUAUCAAUAAGCGGAGGAAAAGAAACCAACAGGGAUUGCUCUAGUAACGGCGAGUGAAGCAGCAAUAGCUCAAAUUUGAAAUCUGGCGUCUUCGACGUCCGAGUUGUAAUUUGUAGAGGAUGCUUCUGAGUAACCACCGACCUAAGUUCCUUGGAACAGGACGUCAUAGAGGGUGAGAAUCCCGUAUGCGGUCGGAAAGGUGCUCUAUACGUAGCUCCUUCGACGAGUCGAGUUGUUUGGGAAUGCAGCUCUAAAUGGGAGGUAAAUUUCUUCUAAAGCUAAAUAUUGGCCAGAGACCGAUAGCGCACAAGUAGAGUGAUCGAAAGAUGAAAAGCACUUUGGAAAGAGAGUUAAAAAGCACGUGAAAUUGUUAAAAGGGAAGGGAUUGCAACCAGACUUGCUCGCGGUGUUCCGCCGGUCUUCUGACCGGUCUACUCGCCGCGUUGCAGGCCAGCAUCGUCUGGUGCCGCUGGAUAAGACUUGAGGAAUGUAGCUCCCUCGGGAGUGUUAUAGCCUCUUGUGAUGCAGCGAGCGCCGGGCGAGGUCCGCGCUUCGGCUAGGAUGCUGGCGUAAUGGUCGUAAUCCGCCCGUCU
rnacentral:rRNA from 1 species